GAUGAAGAACGCAGUGAAACGCGAUAGUUAAUGUGAAUUGCAGAAUUCAGUGAAUCAUCGAGUCUUUGAACGCACAUUGCGCCCAUAGGUAUUCCUUUGGGCAUGUCUGUUUGAGCGUCAUUACAACCCUCAGCGCAAGCUGGUUAUGAGUUGGCUGCAGCCCGCUUUCAUUUAUUUGAACGGGUGAAAUCCGGCUUUAAAGUUGUAUGCUCUGCUGGCUGCUUUGCCCGACCAAAACAUAGUAAAAUUUACGACUGUUUAUAGAACGGCUUUGCUUGCUCGGCCUGAAUAAAACCCAACAUUUCUUAGGUUUGACCUCAGAUCAGAUAAGGAUACCCGCUGAACUUAAGCAUAUCAAUAAGCGGAGGA
rnacentral:misc_RNA from 1 species